rnacentral:snoRNA from 1 species
AGACCAAAUUUUAACCAUGCUUUCCACUGGCGUCAAUGUGGCGACAUCUAUGGUCACAUUUUUGAUGCUAUUAUACUUCAGUGGUGUUAAUAACGAAGCAUGGGAGAAAAAUGGUUUAAGAUGUAUCUCCAGCUGUUGAAAAUUGACGGAGAGACUUUUCUCUCUCUGUCGCUAUACAAUCUGAUAUAGUUGGUCAUGAUUCUUGCGACAUUC